rnacentral:rRNA from 1 species
AUACAGAGAGUGCAAGCGUUAAUCGGAAUUACUGGGCGUAAAGCGUGCGUAGGCGGCGUGUCAAGUCAGACGUGAAAGUCCGGGGCUCAACCCCGGAAGGUCGUUUGAAACUGGCAUGCUUGAGUACGGGAGAGGGGUGUGGAAUUCCCAGUGUAGGAGUGAAAUCCGUAGAUAUUGGGAGGAACACCAGUGGCGAAGGCGACACCCUGGCCCGAGACUGACGCUCAGGCACGAAAGCGUGGGGAGCAAACAGGAUUAGAAACCCCAGUAGUCC